UAACUGUAUAAAUAUAUAUAUCCAGUAUAGUAUAGUAUAAUAUGAUAUACCAUGGACAUUGGACAUAAUUUAAUAUGUUUAUAGUUCAAAUUUUGCAACAAAAGGUGGAAUUACAGUAUUAAACAUGCAUGUGAUAAUUAUUGUAAACAAAGUGACGAGUAAAUUACUGUACAUUUUAACGCCGCAUACUUAUAAAUAUUAAAUAGUCAGUAUAACAUUGUAAAACAAGCUUAACACAAACAAUAUGCACUGAAUAUUAUCAGAAUAAUUCUCAAUAUUGUUUCAUGAAAGAGAAGCGAUAUAUAAAUGCCUUGUCCCUAGGUUUCGGUCUGCGAAUUUGUUCAGUCAGACAAGCCCAGGAGACUUAAUAGCCUAGAAUUAGUCAGACAAGCCCAGGACACAAUAAAGCAUGCAAACUUUUAGUAUUCGUCUUUAUAUGAAUACUAUAGUAUUUUACUGUAAAAAGUCAACAAGGAUACAAAAUACAUGACACUUUUAAUAUCUCUACAUUGCCGCAAUUCCGAAGCUUUGCGUUGGUCGGUUUUACAAACGGGAAGUGUAGUUUAUGGAAGCUUGUCAAUCACUUCAUUUGAAUCAGUUAUCAACCGAUCAGAGCUCUGCGUCCAAAUAUUGGACGCAUGCACGUAAAUAUCAUAGGGAUCCUUGCAGGCUCUCUUUCACCCAGAGAGCCUGCUCGCAGGCUAGGCCGGCCUGGACGGCUGGACCAGGGCUCAGUUAAACUAGAAAGCCCUGGGAACGAGGUUGGUACUUGUCGAGAAAGAGUUUUAAAUGAUUUAAAAUUUUAAAUUUAUUUCAUUUCAAAGUGCGAGUAAUAAGUUGAAGCUCGAGUUGAAGAGUUUAUCGGCAAAAAGCAGUUCAAUUCCCGUUUAUUGUGUUG